CCCUUCUCCCACCUUGCAGGAGGGGCAGUUCCAGGGCUUCCUGACAUGGCACCAUUUUGCCUUUGCACACGGACCCCAGAGCUGAACCCUCAUGCAAGUGGCAGGCCAGCUGUACUUGCUAGAAAUACUUUGGUGCUCCAAAUGUUGUAGACUGCACAGUUUUUGACUACUUUCCAAUGUGUGAAAAAUAUUGAUGGAUACUUCUUGUUUCUAAAAUCCAUAAAAGCUCUCCUUUUUAAACUUUCCCUUUGUUUUCUUCUGUCUAGCUGCACUCGUUCUUGAGGAGUAUCUCCUUCAACAACAGUGCUGGUGACUUAGUGGCCUUUGAUGAGAAUGGGGAGUUAGCAGGUGGAUUUGAUAUUAUUAACUGGGUUACUUUUCCAAACCAAACCUUCUCCCGAGUGAAAGUAGGAAAGAUAGUUCCACAAGACUCACAAAACGUAGACUUCAGCAUGGAUGAGGGAGCCAUUACAUGGCACAGAUCUUUUAAUCAGGUGGGACCAUUGGAUUUUUAAAAAUGCGGUAUUGUAGGAGUAAAUUAUACUGACCCAAGUGAGAUUUACAUCUCAGAAGACAAGGGGAGGCUAAGUUACCCAUUUGUUUUGAAAGAUUUAAUGUCUUGUGGUGCUUCUCUGAGCCUAAUAAUGUAUAUGCUUCUUAUUUUACCUUCCUCAUUAACUUCCUGUAUUUCAAAGUCUGUUGUCUUCUCUGUCCUCUCUCCAUCCUCCAUCUUUAAAAUUCAGUAUCCCUUCUCAUUCACUCCCAAUAUUUACAUUACAGUUUAUUUAUUUAUACAACACGCCUUUCUGGAAUAAUGUUAAUCAGCCAGCUGAUCUCUUUUUGGUUAAAAUUGUGUUGUUUACAAGACACGAGAGAGCUACAUUUUCUCCUCUUUUUAUGGCUAGGUGCUGCCCCUUGCCUUGUGUAAUGAUCGCUGCCAGCCAGGCUACAGCAGGAAAAAGAAGGAGGGAUUGCCAUUUUGUUGCUAUGAUUGUGCUUCAUGUCCACAUGGGAUGAUUUCAAAUCAAACGGGUAGGAUUACUAUUACUAUUAUUAUUUUGAACAUUGUACCACUAAGUGUUCUGACCAACUCUAGCUAAGGGCACAACCAAAGCCAAUGUUUCUGAUCACUAACUCCAGAUGAAGGACAGAGUAGAUGAAAAAUCCAUGCACUUUAGGCCCAUAGAAACGUAGAGCCUAUUGUGGAUUAUGCAUAGUGGCUGGAGAUUGUACAAACAGUUUUUAAUAUCGACUUAUCUCUGAUACUUUCACCAACUUAUUUGUUGGAACUCAUAUAUUACUCAUUUGAUUUUUUCAGAUGUGGAUUAUUGUUUCCAAUGCCAAGAUGACCAAUUUCCAAACAAGGACAGAGAUCAGUGCAUCCCCAAACGCCAACAUUUUCUUUCCUACGCAGAACCUUUAGGGUUCGUUUUAGCUUCCUUAGCUCUGGUCUUUUCUCUGGUCACAGCUUUGAUACUUGGCGUCUUCUCUAGGAAUGGGGACACUCCCAUUGUCAAAGCCAACAACCGGGACCUCACCUACACUCUGCUCAUUUCCCUCUUGCUCUGCUUCCUCUGCUCCUUGCUGUUCAUUGGCCAGCCUCACCCAGUGAGCUGCUCUUUACGACAAGCUGCUUUUGGCAUCAUCUUCUCCAUUGCUGUGUCUUGUGUCUUGGCCAAAACCAUCACGGUGGUUCUGGCUUUCAUGGCCACCAAACCAGGAUCCAGGAUGAGGAAAUGGGUGGGGAAAUCUCUCACAAACUCGGUUCUUCUUGCUUGCUGCUCAGUUCAAACCAGCAUUUGUGCUGCUUGGCUCUGUAUGGCUCCUCCAUUCCCAGAUGUGGACAUGAACUCUCUGGCAGAGGAAAUCAUUGUGGAAUGCAACGAAGGUUCUGUCGCGAUGUUUUAUUCUGUCCUGGGUUAUCUGGGAUUCCUGGCCAUGGUCAGCUUCACUAUGGCUUUCCUGGCCAAGAGGUUGCCGGACAGUUUCAAUGAAGCCAAGUUCAUCACCUUCAGCAUGUUGGUUUUCUGCAGCGUUUGGCUGUCCUUUGUUCCCUC
rnacentral:lncRNA from 1 species